UAAAUUAGUGUCAUGAAUGACUUCCGCCCUAAUGUUUUUGCAACUUCUUUCCUUUCUCUCUCUUCUUCUGACUUUCUCUCUUUACCUUCUAAUUCUCUAAAUGGCGAUUUUGUUCUUCGAUUUCGCUAAUCUAUUUCUUCGAUUUUGCUUAUCUAUUUUGACGAAUUCUUCGAUUUCUUUCAUCACGUUGUAGUAUUCGGUGUGAAUCCACCGUUUCUGCAGAGCUGUGUGGGAAUUUCGGUUUGGAGUAAGGAAAAUGGAGUUAUUUUGCCUACUUCAACAAUGCCCAACUUCAAACAGCAAAAGAUGCAGGAAUCAUAGCUAGAUUUGUGCUCUUAUUAGCGGAUCCAAGAUUUGAAUGAGAUUGAUAGUAAAUUGAUUAGAUAUUUGAAGAUGCACGUGGCCAUCUAUGUAAAUUGAAUGGCCAUGUUGGCUUUAAGGAAUAUAUUGAUCUUGGACCUUAUAUGGAUUGUAGGUGCUAGCCUAAUCCUAUACUUUAUUGUUCAUUCUUGUUUUAUGCAAUUGUUUACAUUUUUUGUGUGCA